ensembl:snRNA U6 U6 spliceosomal RNA
UCAAGCUCACUUUGGUAGCACAUACACUAAAACUGUACAGAGAAGAUUAAUGUGGCCCCUGUACAAGGAUGACAUGCAAAUUGGUGAGGCAUUCCAUAUUUUC